rnacentral:rRNA from 1 species
AGUGAACGCUGGCGGUAGGCCUAACACAUGCAAGUCGAACGGCAGCACAGUAAGAGCUUGCUCUUACGGGUGGCGAGUGGCGGACGGGUGAGGAAUACAUCGGAAUCUACUUUUUCGUGGGGGAUAACGUAGGGAAACUUACGCUAAUACCGCAUACGACCUACGGGUGAAAGCAGGGGAUCUUCGGACCUUGCGCGAUUGAAUGAGCCGAUGUCGGAUUAGCUAGUUGGCGGGGUAAAGGCCCACCAAGGCGACGAUCCGUAGCUGGUCUGAGAGGAUGAUCAGCCACACUGGAACUGGGACACGGUCCCGACUCCUACGGGAGGCAGCAGUGGGGAAUAUUGGACAAUGGGCGCAAGCCUGAUCCAGCCAUACCGCGUGGGUGAAGAAGGCCUUCGGGUUGUAAAGCCCUUUUGUUGGGAAAGAAAAGCAGCAGGUUAAUACCCCGCUGUUCUGACGGUACCCAAAGAAUAAGCACCGGCUAACUUCGUG